GACGAACGCUGGCGGCGUGCUUAACACAUGCAAGUCGAACGGAAAGGCCCUGCUUUUGUGGGGUGCUAGAGUGGCGAACGGGUGAGUAACACGUGAGUAACCUGCCCUUGACUUUGGGAUAACUUCAGGAAACUGGGGCUAAUACCGGAUAGGAGCUCCUGCUGCAUGGUGGGGGUUGGAAAGUUUCGGCGGUUGGGGAUGGACUCGCGGCUUAUCAGCUUGUUGGUGGGGUAGUGGCUUACCAAGGCUUUGACGGGUAGCCGGCCUGAGAGGGUGACCGGCCACAUUGGGACUGAGAUACGGCCCAGACGCCUACGGGAGGCAGCAGUGGGGAAUAUUGCACAAUGGGCGGAAGCCUGAUGCAGCAACGCCGCGUGCGGGAUGACGGCCUUCGGGUUGUAAACCGCUUUCGCCUGUGACGAAGCGUGAGUGACGGUAAUGGGUAAAGAAGCACCGGCUAACUACGU
rnacentral:rRNA from 1 species